GCCACGGUGAUUUAAGAGCCCGUUCUCUUCGAGCAUCUCCAGUCCUCACUGAAGCCAUGUGGGGAGGGCUCUGAUCUCACUUGACCGCUUGAGCAGACUCACUCACAAAGGCCAGGCAACUUGGAGUCACAGAACCAUUGGGGCCAGUUAGGAUUCGGGUCUCCUCAGUUUGUGGGCCUCCAAAGCCGCCACUUCCCCACAGUCUCCCUGACAGGGGUGAGGUAGGGUUGUCCUGGGAGUUUGGGAGGUCAGAGGCCGUGAGACCUGCAGGGUCGGGGAGGCAGGUGCAGACCCUCUGAGGUUGGUAAGGACCCUUCUCAGAGUCCCAUGUAACUGCUGGUAGGAAGGCUGUCUGCCUCCAGGGCUCGCAGAGGAGGGCGGGAAGUUCUCCUAUCUCCUGAGGGCGAGCGGGGUGCGCUCCUGACUGCCCUGGGGUGUCUGAGGUGAGCUCUGAAGUGGGGUGGGCGGCAGCUUCGGAGGAGCUGAGCACAAAGGACGGGGGGCACAUGGGCCUUCCCGCUCUACCGCCAGGCUCCUGCCUGCCCCAGGGAGUCUGAGGAGCGAGGCUACUUCACGUGGGUCUGAGAGCCGCACCCGAGGCAGCCUGGGAGCACCUCCUGAAGUUCUCUGCUCAGCUUAUGAUUCUUUUCAUGCUGCUCCAUAGGGGCAGGGGGACAGGAAUGGGGCCGGAGGUUCAGAAAUCUGAGCAGUCUCGGCUCUGCCACUAUCUGACUGUGAUUGCUCCCCUCCCCUUUCUGAGCCUCAGUUUCCCCAUCUGUGAAAGGAAGCAGUUUUAGAGACAGAGGACAAGAGUGCUGUCCCAUCUGAUUCUAGAUCUCUGUGGAGUGGUCAGUGACUCAAAGAAACUGAAAGUGAGAGGACCCUUGAGGGAGGCACAAGGCGCUGGCCCUCCACUCUCUGGACACUCCGGGCCUCUCCUGGUGGAGCCUGUCUGAGGAAGGGGCUUUGCUCUCCUGCCAGGGCUCCCUGGGGCUGCAGCGAGGACCUGGUCCCCACCAGACAGCAGGUGGAGAGGGGGCAGGUGGGGAGGAGCUGCAGAGGCAGGCUGGGCCGGAGCAAGAGCUACUCCAUCGAAACCAGGUCAGCCCUAUUGCAGCUCCUGACUAUUAUCCCAGUGAAACUGGGAGAGCGCACACCUGGGGCCAUUUGCUCAGCGUCCCGGUUUUACGAUCAGGGCGCCUGAGCUGAGGAAAACAUGAGUUCAUUCCCGCUGCCUCCGCCUCUCUGAAGGGCUGCCUCUGUGUGGCCCACGCCAGCGCCUCGGCCUCCGCAGCCUGGCCCGGGGGCACCACAUCCACUGAGCGGAGCCAGGGAGGAGGCCGGCCCCGCCUCAGCCCCAGGGCCACGGGAAGGCGAACAGGCUGCCAGCGCCCCGUCCUGUCCACAGGAACGCGUGUCGUGCGGUGGGCCGCGGGGGCCCCCCCGGAAGCAGACGCACAGGAGGACAGAGCCGGCCCCCUCUCUUCCACAUCCCCCGGCACCGGUCUCAGAGCUCGGGACGUGCAAGGCAUUUCUUUCACCGACUGGCCAGAGUUAAAAAGGCACAGGUGACUCCUACCUCUCCUAUUUCCGGAAUGUUCCUCUGGAAGUUCUCAAACACUGGUGCAUCCUAGAAGGGAGACUUCUCUUCUUCCCUUCCCCUCCCCCCACUCCCUACCGAGCCUCCCUCUUCUGCUCCCAGCUCUGACUCCCUGUUGUUACACCAGAGCCCCCGGCCCCUAGGACUGGGAUGCCACAGGAACAGAUAGACCUCAGGGAAGCAGUGCCUACUUCCCGAAGGCUUUGUGCACAUCUUGGCCCGGCAACGCCCUUCGGUUGUCAUUUAAGGCUGUUUCCUGCCCGUCAGGUCACAGAUGUUCCCAAAACUCUGGCUGCACUUGCCCCCAGACCUCCUAGCAGGGACCAGUUGUGCUGAAUGUCUCAGAGAUUUGCCUUCAGACUCAAAAUGCCAUGCGGCAUACAGAAAGCCUUUCUCUGGAUCUGUGCCACAGCCUCCAUCAGCUGCUCCAACACAGCUGUCUUCAGUCUCUGGUCCCUCGGUCAGGGGUUGGGAGGACACAGCCACACUCAGCCACACAGGUGCAGGCAUAGAGGAAGCAGAAGUUAAAAUGCAUGGCUUUUGGACAACCCAGGGUUUGGGCCUGACCGAGCGGAUGAAGUCUCUUCAAUGUUCCCACUGAUCUUGGCCUCACUGACAAAGAAGCCUAUGCCGUCACUGCCAGCCCCCACCAUGUUCAGCACUCAAAAGAAGGUCAGCCCUUCCAAUGUCUGGGGGAACUACCUGGGGGCGGGAUAGAAGGGUGAGAUCACUGUAUGGAAUGCUCAUUCCUGCGCCCCCAACCUCCUCACCUCCCUGCUCCGGCAUGACGUAGACGAAUCACACCCAUGUGGUGGACCCAGGAACACAAAGAUAACACAGUGUGGGGCUGGGUCCUGGCCCCUGACAAACAGGCUGCUCUGGGACCCAGCCCAGCCACAAAGAACUUCUCAGAGGAGUUUUAUUGGGGUGCAUGUGUGUGUCUCUCUUCUUCACUGUCAGGCACCCACUUGCCUCCGGAGAAAGGGCUCCUUCAUUCCUGGGGUUAGUCAUCCACCCCUGCGCAAACAACGGGCCCUUUCCACAGCUUUCUCACCCACCCUGGGCCAGGGCCUAGCACAGUCGCUGGCACAGAAAGGUGCUUCAUAAAUUCUUAUUGGAUACGUGAAUGAAUGGACACAUCAAAGCAAGCAUCCAUCCAAGGCAGGAAAACCCUUGCCUUUUGCCUGGUCAGAUUGAGCAGCCCCUCUGUCAUCUCUUCCCGGCAGUGCCGCCUGGAUGAACAAGACCAGCUCUGGCAGAGCAGGAAGGUCUCCAGGUUCAAAGGAAGCGCCCCCUGAGAGGGGAGGGCAGAGAGAGUUCUCAGGGGCUGAGGAAAGAAAGAAAGCCUGUCCCUUCCCUGAGUCUAGUACAAAAGGGCCCGGUGUCACUUCAGUUCUGGACACUGUGGUGGGCAUCAGCUUGACUGCCUUCUCCUGUGACCUUCUGGUCAUAACCUCUUGGAGGCCAGAGCAGCUUCUGGUACAUAGGCCCUGGCUCCACACCAGCCAUAGGGAGGCUCUCGACCUCAGGCUGAGGGCCCUUUGAGCAGAAUGACCGCCUCAGAGACUACAGGGCCAGGAGGUCAGCCAGUCAGGGAUCAUACCAAGAAGGAAUUGUCAUUUCCAGCAGGGCUCCCAGGCCUCGAUCCAGCUGAAAGAAUUGCUGAAGAUGACCUACCCCUGGGGGUCCGAGUCUGAGGGGAGAUGGGCCGUCAUGACCGUUCUCCUGCUCCUCUAUCCGUUCCCACCUCUCCUUUGUUGCCAGGAUUCUCCUGAACACCCUGGUCACCUACGUGAGAAAUGGAAACCGCAAGUGGCUUUCUGGAGAAAUUCCAAGCAGUCAACCUCAGGGAAUACUCACCAAGCCCUCUGGGAGGGGUUCUCGACCUGGCUGGGAGCCAGGAGAAAGAGUGAAGCCAAGAGGGCUGAGGGCCCAGAAGUGGUGCAGGUGAGGGGUGUCCGCACCUGGCUCCGGGCUCCUGCUGAGGUGCUGGGCAGGAGCAGGCCUCAGCUGCUAGGGCCAGGCCCAGGGAUGCUUGAGAGAGCUGGUGGCCUGGCUGUGGCUGGUGAGAAAGGAGCCACUGCACAUGUGAGGGCUGAGAGUAGAGCACACCCUGCCUAGCAGCACCCCUGCCAGGGAAAUAUCACUCAUGAGAAGGCCUUCGAGGAGCUUCCAGGGUGGAAGCUUGCACCUUCCAAGCAAGGAGUUCCCAUGGGUGAGCCUGGCGAUCCCUUCAGUAACCGUAUUAGUAUCCUGGGGGCAGCCGUAACAAGGCACCACAGAUUCAGGCUUAAACAACAGAAAUUCGUUCUCUCACACCUUUUAGCCCCAUAGGAAGAUAAAGGUGUUGGCAACGUAGGUUUCUCCUGAGGCCUCUCUCCUUGGUUUGCAGAUGGUUGCCUUCUCACUGUGUCCUCACAUGGCCUUUCCUGGUAUGUCUCUCUCUUCUCACAAGCGCACCAGUCAUUGGCUGAGGGCCCACCCUUAUGACCUUACUUAACCUUCAUCACCUCCUUAAAGGCCCUCUCUCCAAAUAUAGUCAUGUUCUAAGGUACUGGGGGGUGAGAGCUUCAGCAUAUGAAUUUGGGGGGUACAUAGUGACUAUGGGAAGGCUAUCGUGACUGUGACUGUGCAUGUCAUGGAACAAUUGACUGCUGGGCCAGUUCCACAUAUACAGCAGGCCCACUUCCUUUGACUCACCUCAUUUUUCCCAGAACCUUGGAGAAGAACAGCCAUUAUUGGCCCAUUUGAUGGACAGGCUGAAGCAGAGCAGUAAAGGGGCAGCCCUGGAGCCUCGGUGUCCUGGGUGCUCCUCAUCUACUGUCCCGUGCUUUCCAGCAAGGUCAUGUCUGAAGAUCUCACACCACCCAGCUGGAAGAGCCUCCAGCAACCUGCGUGCUCUCUACCUGUAUGAUGUGGGAGGAAACUGAGGUGGCAGCCUGCUCCCUAGAGGUGAAGUGAUUCAUGAGGCCCAUAAGAUUACUAGCUGAUGCCAUGUCUUAUCUCCUUGACUCACUUCACUCAAGCUCUGACAAGCUCAGUGAUUUGCUAAGGGUCAGACAGGUCCUGGCACCCAGAGGGCAGAGCUUAUCCCCAGUCCCCCUAGAGGUUCUUUGCAGGCUUCUGGAAACUCUCCUGAGUAGGUCUCUCUGGGGUGGGCCAUCCUACCAAGGCUCCACCCUGACAGCCUCUGCCCCUGCUCUCCGGGGGUCUUUGUACCUCCCAUGCCUGAGAACUCUGUAUCCCUGGGCCUCACCCUCAUCCCUCCAUGUGGGUGUGAAGGGGCUCAGCUCACCGGGGGGGGGGGGGCUCCUGUGGAGGGAUGAGGGCUGUGGCAGGCAAGGUCAGGUGUGAAAGGCAGCCAGGAGGCCAGAAUGCCCAGUCUCCAGGACACUAGCCAGUUUGUCAGGGAAGCCAUAAGAAGUGCUUCUUUGAGUUGGCCCUGCCUGGUCCCACCUAGUAAGGAAGCUUGACCAGCUGCCCUUUGUUCACGGGCUAAGGCCUUACUUUGGUUUCCUGUUGGAAAGCUUCAUCUAGAUACUUCCAAGGAGCUCAAGCUCUCUGGUGUCUUCCUCUGUGGCCAUGGCAGAUGAAAGGCCAGAGGGCAGAUCUUUCCCUAACCUGGCCAUGGCAGGUGAGGGGUCCCUGGGAGGAGCACCAUGGCCUAGAGAUCUGCUGGGUUUUGACGGUCAGCUUCUUCCAGCCAAGCAAGCGCUAGAAGGUCCCCAUCCACCACUUUGGGUUUAAUGGUGGCUCCAGAGGUCUUCCUGCCUGACCGUAGCAGCCUGUGAGUCCAUCCACAACCGCCAGGUGGCUUGGGCUACUUAGGAUCUCUUCUAACCAGCACCAGCAUUAAGGCCCAUCCUCACUGAGGCCAGCACAUAGUGACCAAGAACAGUCCCUUAAAGAUCCUUUCAUUGACUGUGGAAAAUGGAGCCAGAGAACCCACUUGCUCAUGUCACGGUGCCACUGGGUUUGUCUUAAUCGCUGCUGCGUCCCAAGCUGACCAUAGAACCUGGAAGGUGGUGGAGUUGAAUCAAUAAACAGAUUCCCCAGACAGUUCAAAUCCCCUUCUCCUGGCCCCACCCACCAGGGGUCACCGUCAAGGACUUGAGAUUCAGUCCAUCCAUCGGGGCAGGCGCGUGGGGGACACCUCUCCAUUAUCACCAGGAGCCCACAGUGGGUUGCCUGCAUGGGAAGAGACUGUUGGUCUGACCAGGGGCAUUGCUGUGAGCGUCGGGCUUUUCAGGAAAUAAAGAGGCAUUGAUUGUGUGAGACCUCUUGGCAGGUAAUUGAAACUGCCUGAUUCCCCUCAGACCAAACCCUGAGGUGCCCCGGGCUGUGAGCUGGCACGGUGGUUAAAGGCACUGACUGGGGCCUGGCCGGACUCCAGCAGGAGCAGCGUGGGAAUGUGGCCUUCAGCCCCUGCUGGGCCCCAUGUGGGGGAAGUUGGCCACCAGGUGGGGGAAGUCAUCCAGGCCCGAAUACCAGGGCCGUCUCUGAUGGGCACUUCUGGGCAAACCAGGCUUCAGAGGGCCCCACAGCAGCCGCUGCUCCUGUGCCACUUGUCCCUCCACGUGGCUUCCUAGGACGGCCUUUUGGUGGCCUUGGGGACUCACGGGAAUUCCCUCACUCCCACACGGGGAUGUGGCCAUGGCAGCAGGGCUGAGCAGGGUGUACCCCUCACAGGGACAACACCUGGCCCACCUGGAGGAGGCGGGGUUAGAGCAGAGCGAGUCCUGUGAUGGGUCGUCUGAAGACCCUGGCUGCACCAGCCCGUCCUGUGUUUCUCCACACCGUUGACCCACCAGUGACUAUAAGUGUGUGCUCCAGUAAAUUUGCACGGCGUUCUUGUUUAUCAGCUCUGCACUGGUAAAUGGUGCUCUGGCCCCUCACGAGAGCCUCAGGAAGGCAUGACGUCAUGCACGGGACGCUGAGCCUCCUGAAGCGGCCACUGAAACUCCAGCCUCCCAUGGAGUCCUGGUUUGAGGAAGACCACCAUGAGACAUGUGAACAAAGGACAGGCUCCAUGGUGCACCUGGACCUUCUGGACCCUCCACUCUGGGGCUUCCAGCUGUGCCAGAUAUCCCUGAACCAGGAAUGUUGCACAGAAAGCACAGAGCCACCUGACUCUAAGGGUCCAUGCCAGGCUGCUUCAGUCACCUUGACCCGGGAAUUCGGUUUCUCUUCAUAGGAUUCCAGGUGUUGCGUUCCUGGGACUCACGGCCCUCUGGAAAACCAUUCAUUGACUCGUUCUCAUUUGAGAAUAUUUCUGGAGCAUCUUCUCUGCCCCAUUCUUACUCUGGAGAAAAAAAAAAGUCACAGUUGAGUCCCUCCCCCUCUGCCGCUGUGGGCCGGCUGCUCUGACUCUUGGCAGCUGUCAGCUGUCCCUGUGCUCAGAGCCUUGUCUCCCUUUGGCCUCUCAUCCCAAGAUACUCAGCUGCAUGCCAAAGAUCUGCUCUCUGGUGAGUCCCUCUAGUAGCCAUUCUCGGUACAGGGCCCCGAACAUUCCUUCACUUGGGUCGACCUUUGGCAACAUCCUUUAUACUGUCUCGGGACCAGGCCCUGCCAUGAUCUGAAAGGUCCCAGCAGAGUUGCGUUCGGGUGGUUGAGUCAGCUGAGCUUCCAACUCUAGAUUUCUGCUCAGGUCAUGAUUUCACGGUCGUGGGAUCGAGCCCCAGGUCAUACGCUGACAGUGUGGUGCCUACUUUGGAUUCUCUCUCUCUUUGCCCCUCCCCCCCCUCAUUCUCUCUCUCCCUCCCUCUCUCUCUCUGUCUCAAAAUAAAGGAAUAAACAUUAAAAAAAAAAAAAAAAAAAGUCCCAGCGGAUGGCAGAAAGAUCGCAGUGGAAAGAAGGGAAGUGUCAGACAAAACUCCAAGGAGGAGGUAGAUUUGAAGGACUGAGGUUCUCAAGAGGUAGAAACUGCAGGCGGAUAUUUUAGGUACAGGUGGCAGCUGAGCAGAGCAGAUGGACCCUCGGGACAUGCCAGGGUAGCCUGCCACCGUGUUUCUACACAUGUAAACUUCGCGUGCAUGCUAAUGUCAUACACCUGCACGCUCACAUCUGUGUACAAGGGUUCUUCCUGAGGCUGGGUCCGAAGAGCUUUAACAGGCAAUUGGUUCUGACACCAGAGGUGAGAGCUUCAGUUAGCCUUUAGGGCAGACCCUUUCUUCUCUCCUUCCUUCCUCCCUUCCUUCCUUUUUUCCUUUCUUCCUUCUUCUCUCCCUCCCUUUUUCCCUUCACCAUCAAAAAGGACCCUUGAGUCCCACGAAUAUAAGAUGACAUUAUUCUUGGGGAAAACCAUCAAGUUAUUAACUCAUAAGGGAUUGUAUAUGGAUGUGUCUGAACUUUGUCACCAAGGCUGCUGGCAGUGUGUGUGGGUGGGGUGGGGGGGGCACAGAAGGAAUGGAGGGGACAACGGAAGUGCAUAGGAUUUGUGACAGCAUUAUCCCUCCACUGGUGUUCAUUCCCGAGGAGAUGGGUGUUGAUGACAUAGAAAAUAGGAGGACGCUGCACCAGAUGUUCUGUGAGUUUUUAAAAAAGAUUUUCCUUCAGGAAUGUGAAAAUUAUUUUUUUUAAUGUUUAUUGAUUUAUUUAGAGAGAGAGAGAGAGAGAGAGAGA